UACAGAGGGCUCAAGCGUUGUUCGGAUUCAUUGGGCGUAAAGGGUGCGUAGGCGGCGUGGCAAGUCGGGUGUGAAAUCUUGGAGCUUAACUCCGAAACUGCAUUCGAUACUGCCGUGCUUGAGGACUGGAGAGGAGACUGGAAUUCAUGGUGUAGCAGUGAAAUGCGUAGAGAUCAUGAGGAAGACCAGUGGCGAAGGCGGGUCUCUGGACAGUUCCUGACACUGAGGCACGAAGGCCAGGGGAGCAAACGGG
rnacentral:rRNA from 1 species